rnacentral:rRNA from 1 species
ACGAACGCUGGCGGCGUGCUUAACACCUGCAGGUCGAACGGAAAGGCCCUGCUUUUGUGGGGUGCUCGAGUGGCGAACGGGUGAGUAACACGUGAGUAACCUGCCCUUGACUUUGGGAUAACUUCAGGAAACUGGGGCUAAUACCGGAUAGGAGCUCCUGCUGCAUGGUGGGGGUUGGAAAGUUUCGGCGGUUGGGGAUGGACUCGCGGCUUAUCAGCUUGUUGGUGGGGUAGUGGCUUACCAAGGCUUUGACGGGUAGCCGGCCUGAGAGGGUGACCGGCCACAUUGGGACUGAGAUACGGCCCAGACUCCUACGGGAGGCAGCAGUGGGGAAUAUUGCACAAUGGGCGGAAGCCUGAUGCAGCAACGCCGCGUGCGGGAUGACGGCCUUCGGGUUGUAAACCGCUUUCGCCUGUGACGAAGCGUGAGUGACGGUAAUGGGUAAAGAAGCACCGGCUAACUACGUGC